UUCCAUGGAGGUUGGUCAAGAGUAACCUAUGCCAAAGUUGUCUUGGAGGCACCUUUCCUCAGCAUUUCUAGAAUUUGAGCAACCUAUCUUCCAACUACCUCUGGGUCAUCUCACUUGGAUAUGAAAGGAAAGUUUCUAAACAAAAAAAACAGAAUUAUCAGAGGCCCAACAUAACCAAAAGGUCAAAGGGUAGCAAAGGAGCUGUCACCGUGUCGGAUGGAGGAACUCGCUUCCGCUCCGGUCCUUUACCCACAAGGCAGCUGGACAGGGAGGGAGGAUGCUCUUGGUGUGACGUAAAUACGGUAAAGGAAACCACCCACCUGAUGAAAAACAACCCAUAAGAGACAGAGGGCGUGAUUGACAAGGUGUCAAUCAUUUGUUGCACUUGUGGGCAAACUCAUCGUGGGCACUCCCCCGUAGGCUAACAUAACAUUUACUGAAAAUGAGACACUAAACUUCUGGGAAAAUACGUAAACAUGAGAAUAAUGAUAAUAUUUGGGGAGUUGAAAAUGAUAUAUUCUACUUUGAUUGUUGUGCAAUUCAGUAGAUUAAAUUAUUGUGACCAAGGUUUUGCAUGAACCUUGUAUCUGUAUACUAUAUCAGUAGCAAUGUGUUUCGAAGAUAGUGGCUGUUGAAUGCAGACGCUGAAGGGUUUGUUAGCAAGUUUAGUUGUGCAUGCUUUUUGGGUUGCACACUGGGGACAUUUUUGUUAUCCUCCGAGGACCAUACUAAGGCCUAGUUGGAUAUGAUUUUAUUUAAAAAAAAAUUUUUUUUUAGCAUGUGUUAAGUCCACACGCAAAUGUUUUUGAUUGUCCUUAAGAACAGAGCUUUUGGUAAAAUUGAAACACUCGGGUGACAGACAACUCUCCAAAACUUUUGUUCAGUUUUUUCCUUGCAUUAUUUAAAGUGUGCAAUGUGAGCUUUUGUAUUUAAACUGUAUUUAACAACAGAACAUGUCUAGGGACAUUAUCACCUUUUCUGUGCCCCUUUCCAUUGUCAUGAUACUUUAAUUCUUUCAUUUGCUUACUGGCACUUAUAGACUUUUUUUGCCUUUUGCUUUUUGCCUUGCCAUUUGAAAUGUGCUACAUGAUUUCAUGUAUUAGACUGUGUAUUUAACACUGGUUCGAAUACUUUAUAACACUCUUAAUCAAAAUGUAUUAUUUCAUGUGGCCUCCAAGGUUUCACAUAGGGGCUCCUCGGUUGACGACUGGGCCUACAUAUGAGGUUACAAUCAAUAAGUAUGCGCAGUAGUGUAAGAAUACAGUAUGUGGUCACGCACCGCAAGAAAGUACGCUCAGUUACGCUCAGUUACUCAGUUUUCAUGUGUUUGUUUUAUACUUAUGUAGGGGUGUACUCACUUUUGUUGCCAGCGGUUUAGACAUUAUUGAGUGUGUGUUGAGUUGAUUUGAGAGCACAGUAGAUUUAUACUGUUAUACAAGCUGCACACUUUUCCAUUCGUUCAAAAGAACGAAUACAAUUUGUGUCAAUUUCCAUUCUUAGGUGUACAUUAUGUUCAGGAAUCGGUUACA